CCAGACUCCUACGGGAGGCAGCAGUGAGGAAUAUUGGUCAAUGGUCGGGAGACUGAACCAGCCAAGCCGCGUGAGGGAGGAAGGUACAGAGUAUCGUAAACCUCUUUUGUCGGAGAACAAAACCCGGGACGUGUCCCGGACUGCGUGUAUCCGAAGAAAAAGCAUCGGCUAACUCCGUGCCAGCAGCCGCGGUAAUACGGAGGAUGCGAGCGUUAUCCGGAUUUAUUGGGUUUAAAGGGUGCGCAGGCGGGAGAUCAAGUCAGCGGUAAAAUGUCGGGGCUCAACCCCGGCCGGCCGUUGAAACUGGUUUUCUAGAGUUGGAGAGAAGUAUGCGGAAUGCGCGGUGUAGCGGUGAAAUGCAUAGAUAUCGCGCAGAACUCCGAUUGCGAAGGCAGCAUGCCGGCUCCACACUGACGCUGAGGCACGAAAGCGUGGGUAUCGAACAGGAUUAGAUACCCCCGUACU
rnacentral:rRNA from 1 species